rnacentral:lncRNA from 1 species
AAUACAGUGCAUACCAUAUGAUUUUAUUUAUAGAAAUCCAAAAACAAGCAAGGUCCAUAGAUGGUGAUAUAGAGCAGAAUUGUGGUUAUCUUUGGGAAGGGGCACAAGAAAUUCUAUAGGGUGCUGAAAAUACAGUUGUCUCUCAGUACAUGCAGAGAUUGGUUCCAGGGCCACACCUGAAGAUACCCACAUCCACACAUACUCAAGUCCCAUAGCUAGCCUUUUGGAACCUGCAGAUACAAAAAGUUGGCCCUCUUUAUAAGUGGGUUUUGCAUCCCACCAAUAUUGUAUUUCUGAUCUGCAUUUGGUUGAAAAAAAUAUGCCUAUAAGUGGACUCACACUAUUAAAAUCCAUGUCAUUCAAGUGUCAACUGUAGCCUGGAUCUCAGUUGAGAUGGUUGGUGCCUACAUGGGUGCACACGAAUGCAAACAUUCAUCAAGCUAUAUGCUUAAGAUAUACGAACUGUUCAACCUCAACGAAAGAAAACAAAGGGAAAAACUCACAAAUACCAUAAAACCGUGGUUCUCAAAAUGUGGUUCCCAGUGCAGCACCAGGGAACAUGUUAGAAAUGCAAAUUCCCUGACCCCAUCACAGACCCACUGAAUCAGAUGGGGAUGGGGUCUAGCAAUCUGUGCUUUAACAAGCCAAGGUAAUUCUGACACAUGCUAAUGUUUAAGCAUCCUUGCCAUAAGAUGUGGGUAUUAUUAGCCCCACUUUGCAUAUUUAAAAAAGCUAAGGCUCAUAGAGAGAAAGUAACAUAUCCAAGUUCAGCCAACUACUAAGAAACUAAGUGUCAUGAGCUGCACAAGAUAAGAUAUAACCAGGCCCAUGCAUGUUUGUGUCUUUUCAUAAGGUCUGAUUUAUUGAUGCUUAUUCAACCAUAAAAGCCACAAGCUACAUGGAGUUCCCAAGAAGGAAAUUCUUAGUACUAUCCAUUUGCUUGGUAGUCAGAGACAUGGCACACAGGCUCAAGCCACAGCAUAGGUCAGUCAAAAUUGCAAAACCAUACAUAGUAGUAUACUCAAUAUAUAAAUGUUACAGAUUACAUCAAACAGAGUAACAUUUAACAUCAAGAGAAGAGGGGUGUAUUAGUCAGGGUUCUCCAGAGGGACAGAACUAACAGGAUAUAUGUAUAUAUGAAAGGGAGUUUAUUAAGGAGAAUUGGCUCACGCAAUCACAAGUUAAAGUCCCACAAUAGGCUAUCUGCAAGUUGAGGAGCAAGGAAGUCAGUGGUGGAUCAGUCUGGGUCCCCAAACCUCAAAACUGGGGAAGCCAACAGUGCAGGCUUCAGUCUGUGGCCAAAGGCCUGAGAGCCCCUGGCAAACCACUGGUGUAAGUCCAAGAGUCCAAAAACUGAAGAACUUGGAGUCUGAUGUUCAAGGGCAGGAAGCAUCCAGCAUGGGAGAAAGAUGAAGGCUGGAAGACUCAGCAAGUCUGCUCUUCCAUCUUCUGCUACCUGCUUUAUUCUAGCAUCACUGGCAGCUGAUUAGAUGGUGCCCACCCAGAUUGAGGGUAGGUCUGCCUCUCCCAGUCCACUGACUCAAAUGUUAAUCUCCUUUGGUAACACAGUCACAGACACACCCAGGAACAAUACUUUGCAUCCUUCAAUCCAAUCAAGUUGACACUCAAUAUUAACCAUCACAAGGGAAUUUAAAAUGGGGUUAAUAAACCAGUCCAAGGAGAGUGACGUGUACAGACAGAGAGUGUCCCAGGCUGAUCUGGAUGGGAGUCAACGUCUUGCAAGGAAGAGUCCUUGAUUUGGGCAGAGACUUCAGCAGCAGUUGCUGGGUGCUGAGGUCCUUAAUGUCCUGUUGCCAUCUCCUCUCUUCCAGUCUUUUAAGUUCCUCUAAGAGUCUCAGAGUCUUGCUUUGCAAACUGAUGUCUUGGUCCCCAACUCCAACUCCUUGGCCUCUCAGUGGGAAGCAAUUGCACCUGCCCAGUCCCUUUUAUCUAAGUCAGCCUUCAGCUCCCAUGCCUCACUCUUCUGUGCAAGGGGUUCAGAUGGAUUUCUAUAAUAACUAGUCAUAUCUCUUUUCUCCAUCUGAGUUAGAGUCAAUUAAGAAAUAGGAUACUGGAGUCAGGCAAAUAGUGUGAAUUUGGAUAAUUCAGCAGCUAUUCAUUCCCCUCUCUGUCUAUUGGACUGGACAGAGCAGAUUUCCCUGGGCCACUGAGGCUGUGCUUGGCCCCAUGACUUUCUUUGGCCAGUGGAAUGUCUGCAAAUGUGACACAAGAAGAGGCCAUCACUGUGCUCGAGCAGUUUAGCUUGGCGUUUGUUCUAGGUGGCCCACUGGUCCUGUGUGAUCGUGGGCAGGUUGCUUAACCUCUCUGAGCUGCAUUUUCUUCAUCAGUAAAGUGGAGAUGAGAUGAUCUAUUUCAUAACUUGAUGAGAUAACAUGCAUCUAACGCCUAAUGCAUUGUUUUCUUCCCUGACCAGUUCCCACCACUGACUACCAGGCCUGAGACGCAGUGCAUAGAGUCAGGUCUUAGGAGCCUCUAGGCCAGGAGUGAUAG